UACGAAGGGGGCUAGCGUUGCUCGGAAUCACUGGGCGUAAAGGGUGCGUAGGCGGGUCUUUAAGUCAGGGGUGAAAUCCUGGAGCUCAACUCCAGAACUGCCUUUGAUACUGGAAGACUUGAGUCCGGGAGAGGUGAGUGGAACUGCGAGUGUAGAGGUGAAAUUCGUAGAUAUUCGCAAGAACACCAGUGGCGAAGGCGGCUCACUGGCCCGGUACUGACGCUGAGGUGCGAAAGCGUGGGGAGCAAACAGG
rnacentral:rRNA from 1 species